rnacentral:rRNA from 1 species
GAUGAACGCUGGCGGCGUGCUUAACACAUGCAAGUCGAACGGGAAUCACUUCAUUGAGACUUCGGUGGAUUUGAUUUGAUUCUAGUGGCGGACGGGUGAGUAACGCGUGGGUAACCUGCCUUAUACAGGGGGAUAACAGUCAGAAAUGACUGCUAAUACCGCAUAAGCGCACAGGACCGCAUGGUCCGGUGUGAAAAACUCCGGUGGUAUAAGAUGGACCCGCGUUGGAUUAGCUUGUUGGUGGGGUAACGGCCCACCAAGGCGACGAUCCAUAGCCGGCCUGAGAGGGUGAACGGCCACAUUGGGACUGAGACACGGCCCAGACUCCUACGGGAGGCAGCAGUGGGGAAUAUUGCACAAUGGGGGAAACCCUGAUGCAGCGACGCCGCGUGAAGGAAGAAGUAUCUCGGUAUGUAAACUUCUAUCAGCAGGGAAGAUAGUGACGGUACCUGACUAAGAAGCCCCGGCUAACUACGUGCCAGCCGCCGCCGUAA